ACGGGUGAGUAACACUGGGUAACCUGCCCUUAAUGGGGGAGUAACAAUUUGGAAACAGAUGCUAAUACCGCAUAAAAUCCAAAAAACCGACCAUGGUUCUUGGCUGAAAGAUGGCGUAAGCUAUCGCUUUUGGAUGGACCCGCGGCGUAUUAGCUAGUUGGUGAGGUAACGGCUCACCAAGGCAAUGAUACGUAGCCGAACUGAGAGGUUGAUCGGCCACAUUGGGACUGAGACACGGCCCAAACUCCUACGGGAGGCAGCAUG
rnacentral:rRNA from 1 species